rnacentral:rRNA from 1 species
UGCCAGCCGCCGCGGUAACACGGGGGGCGCAAUCGUGAUUCGGAAUUAUUGGGCGUAAAGGGCGCGCAGGCGGUCUUGUCAGUCAGGUGUGAAAGCCCGGGGCUCAACCCCGGAUGGUCACUUGAAACAGCAAGACUUGAGUACUGGAGAGGAAAGCGGAAUUCCUGGUGUAGAGGUGAAAUUCGUAGAUAUCAGGAGGAACACCGAUGGCGAAGGCAGCUUUCUGGAACAUUAUUGACGCUGAGACGCGAAAGCGUGAAGAGCAAACAGGAUUAGAUA